AGUGAACGCUGGCGGUAGGCCUAACACAUGCAAGUCGAACGGCAGCACAGUAAGAGCUUGCUCUUACGGGUGGCGAGUGGCGGACGGGUGAGGAAUACAUCGGAAUCUACUUUUUCGUGGGGGAUAACGUAGGUAAACUUACGCUAAUACCGCAUACGACCUACGGGGGAAAGCAGGGGAUCUUCGGACCUUGCGCGAUUGAAUGAGCCGAUGUCGGUUUAGCUAGUUGGCGGGGUAAAGGCCCACCAAGGCGACGAUCCGUAGCCGGUCUGAGAGGAUGAUCGCCCACACGGGAGCUGAGCCACGGUCCAGGCUCCUACGGGACGCCGCAGUGGGGAAUAUUGGGCAAUGGGCGCAAGCCUUAUCCAGCCAUACCGCGUGGGUGAAGAAGGCCUUCGGGUUGUAAAGCCCUUUUGUUGGGAAAGAAAAGCAGCAGGUUAAUACCCCGCUGUUCUGACGGUACCCAAAGAAUAAGCACCGGCUAACUUCGUG
rnacentral:rRNA from 1 species